rnacentral:rRNA from 1 species
GACGAACGCUGGCGGCGUGCUUAACACAUGCAAGUCGAGCGGUAAGGCCCUUUCGGGGGUACACGAGCGGCGAACGGGUGAGUAACACGUGGGUGACCUGCCCUUAGCUCUGGGAUAAGCCUGGGAAACUGGGUCUAAUACCGGAUAUGACUCCAUGACGCAUGUUGUGGGGUGGAAAGCCUUGUGCGGCUAGGGAUGGGCCCGCGGCCUAUCAGCUUGUUGGUGGGGUGAUGGCCUACCAAGGCGACGACGGGUAGCCGGCCUGAGAGGGCGACCGGCCACACUGGGACUGAGACACGGCCCAGACUCCUACGGGAGGCAGCAGUGGGGAAUCUUGCGCAAUGGGCGAAAGCCUGACGCAGCAACGCCGCGUGCGGGAUGAAGGCCUUCGG